GCAGCCUGAUGCAGCGACGCCGCGUGCGGGAUGGAGGCCUUCGGGUUGUAAACCGCUUUUGUUCAAGAGGCAAGAGCACGGUUUCGAGCCGUGUUGAGUGGAUUGUUCGAAUAAGCACCGGCUAACUACGUGCCAGCAGACCGCGGUAAUA
rnacentral:rRNA from 1 species